CUACGGGGCGCUCCAGUGAGGAAUCUUGCGCAAUGGGGGAAACCCUGACGCAGCGACGCCGCGUGGGUGAUGAAGGCCUUCGGGUCGUAAAGCCCUGUCGAGAGGGAAGAAUUGCAUUUAGGUUAAUAGCCUAAUUGUUUGACAGUACCUCCAAAGGAAGCACCGGCUAACUCCGUGCCAGCAGCCGCGGUAAUACGGAGGGUGCAAGCGUUGUUCGGAAUCACUGGGCGUAAAGGGCGUGUAGGCGGCUGAGUAAGUCAGGUGUGAAAUCCCUCGGCUCAACCGAGGAAGUGCAUUUGAUACUGCUCAUCUUGAGUACUGGAGAGGGAGGUGGAAUUCCCGGUGUAGAGGUGAAAUUCGUAGAUAUCGGGAGGAACACCAGUGGCGAAGGCGAUCUCCUGGACAGAUACUGACGCUAAGGCGCGAAAGCGUGGGGAGCAAACAGGAUUAGAUACCCGCGUAGUC
rnacentral:rRNA from 1 species